rnacentral:lncRNA from 1 species
AGGCAUGAUUUGACAGGAUAAUGCCCUCACUUGAUAAAAGGAGAGACUCUCUGUCAGCUGCCCGCAUCCUCCCUGAAGCUCUGGAAUCUGACUUCAUGGAGCAUUUGAGCAGCUAAGCUUUUCCUGACCCCCUCCCUCCCACCACCACUCCCGCCUUCCCCCAGUUGCUGAGCAUAAUUGAGAAUUAAUUGCAUGUCUGCUUAUUAUUUUGCUUACUUAAUUUGGUCUAAACGUUGUUCACACUCCAGACUUAAGGCCUGGAAGUGGCUGUCUUCAGGGACCAUUUCUGAGCUCAGCAAACCUUCCCAGCAGGACCUGAUCUCUCCAAGACAGGCGCUCCAGUGGAUCUGAGUUAGAUCGGUGUAUAGAUCAGAGUUCCUAAGAAGCAAUGGACAAAGACCCAGAGUCUGUGCUGGGGGCCUUGGAAGGCUCUAAACCCUGAGCAGCAGUUUACAGAAGAGGCGAACAAUAUGGAUAUGGAGACAAUCUCUUAGGAGACUUGGGAGUGCUCUCCUGUAGGAUCCAAGACUUCUCAUCUUUCCGAUGCGAACUGAAUUAUGCUAGCAUGUCAACCAGGACAUUUCAGAGAAGCAUCGCAUGGGACAUUAAACAGGACCUUUGGUAUUUGGUGUUGGGAAAAUGCCCCCUUGGAUCUAGAGCUCUUUAGGAGUAAUGGCUUCCCGAAAAGAACUAUAGAGAAAAAGAAGGCAGAAUAACCCAGGUGCCUGAGCAUCUUUGAGGAGGCCCCGAUGUGACUACCUGAAACCAGUCUAUGUCAGCACUUCUUGCUACCUGAGAUAUACAUUAUUCAUGGUUUAAGCCAUUCUGAGUCAGGACUUUUUUUUUAUUGAAACUCGGAGCUGGAAAUAGCCAAGUUUACCCACCAAGAAUAACAUCUGGAUUAUGAACCCUGGAAAUAUAACCACUGUCAUUUUGUGUCCCUGGACUAUAUUAAGCUCUACCACAUGGUUUCCAACUUGAGAGUCACUUAGGUUGUCUGUACAGGUGUAUGAGGAAAAGAAAAUCUUAUUUAUGAAUGGAGUGUGGUGAUACACCCUAUCCCGAGCUUUUGUCCCCACCAGCAAGAACAUGCUCAGGACAACCGGAAUCUUCUGCGGCAAAAGCUUUAUUGCUUACUUCUUUAGGAACAAGAGGAGAAGAAUAGGGGCGAAUGGCAAAACCCUGUCCCUUUUAUGGAGGAUUGUCCUCCGCCUCGGACAUGUCGCUCCCUGAUUGGCUGCAGCCCAUCAACCGAGUUGUCGUCAAGGGGAAGGCAGAGCACAUGGAGUGGAGAACUACCCCGGCACAUGCGCAGAUUAUUUGUUUACUACUUAGAACACAGGAUGUCGGCGCCAUCUUGUAAUGGUGAAUGUGAGGGUGGCUCCUCACAACAUCCCUUUAAUCCCAGUACUGAAGGCAGAGGCAGGUGGAUUUCUGAGUCUGAAGACAGCCUGGUAUAGAGAGCUAGUUCCAGGGCUAUACAAGAAGACUCUGUCUUGCAAAAAAUGAAACAAAACAAAAUAAAACAAAUGAAUAAACAAAAAGAAAGAAGCUUCAAUUUUUAUAAAAUAAAAACUAAUUUACUUUA